UGAGAUGAGGUAGAACACAGACUC
rnacentral:piRNA from 1 species